rnacentral:rRNA from 2 species
GGUUAAGCGACUAAGCGUACACGGUGGAUGCCCUGGCAGUCAGAGGCGAUGAAGGGCGUGCUAAUCUGCGAUAAGCGCCGGUAAGGUGAUAUGAACCGUUAUAACCGGCGAUACCCGAAUGGGGAAACCCAGUGUGACUCGUCACACUAUCAUUAACUGAAUCCAUAGGUUAAUGAGGCGAACCGGGGGAACUGAAACAUCUAAGUACCCCGAGGAAAAGAAAUCAACCGAGAUUCCCCCAGUAGCGGCGAGCGAACGGGGAGGAGCCCAGAGCCUGAAUCAGCAUGUGUGUUAGUGGAAGCGUCUGGAAAGGCGCGCGAUACAGGGUGACAGCCCCGUACACAAAAGCGCAUGUGCUGUGAGCUCGAUGAGUAGGGCGGGACACGUGGUAUCCUGUCUGAAUAUGGGGGGACCAUCCUCCAAGGCUAAAUACUCCUGACUGACCGAUAGUGAACCAGUACCGUGAGGGAAAGGCGAAAAGAACCCCGGCGAGGGGAGUGAAAAAGAACCUGAAACCGUGUACGUACAAGCAGUGGGAGCACCCUUUGGGUGUGACUGCGUACCUUUUGUAUAAUGGGUCAGCGACUUAUAUUCUGUAGCAAGGUUAACCGAAUAGGGGAGCCGGAGGGAAACCGAGUCUUAAUUGGGCGUUAAGUUGCAGGGUAUAGACCCGAAACCCGGUGAUCUAGCCAUGGGCAGGUUGAAGGUUGGGUAACACUAACUGGAGGACCGAACCGACUAAUGUUGAAAAAUUAGCGGAUGACCUGUGGCUGGGGGUGAAAGGCCAAUCAAACCGGGAGAUAGCUGGUUCUCCCCGAAAGCUAUUUAGGUAGCGCCUCGUGAAUUCAUCUCCGGGGGUAGAGCACUGUUUCGGCUAGGGGGCCAUCCCGGCUUACCAACCCGAUGCAAACUGCGAAUACCGGAGAAUGUUAUCACGGGAGACACACGGCGGGUGCUAACGUCCGUCGUGAAGAGGGAAACAACCCAGACCGCCAGCUAAGGUCCCAAAGUCAUGGUUAAGUGGGAAACGAUGUGGGAAGGCCCAGACAGCCAGGAUGUUGGCUUAGAAGCAGCCAUCAUUUAAAGAAAGCGUAAUAGCUCACUGGUCGAGUCGGCCUGCGCGGAAGAUGUAACGGGGCUAAACCAUGCACCGAAGCUGCGGCAGCGACACUGUGUGUUGUUGGGUAGGGGAGCGUUCUGUAAGCCUGUGAAGGUGUGUCGUGAGGCAUGCUGGAGGUAUCAGAAGUGCGAAUGCUGACAUAAGUAACGAUAAAGCGGGUGAAAAGCCCGCUCGCCGGAAGACCAAGGGUUCCUGUCCAACGUUAAUCGGGGCAGGGUGAGUCGACCCCUAAGGCGAGGCCGAAAGGCGUAGUCGAUGGGAAACGGGUUAAUAUUCCCGUACUUGGUGUUACUGCGAAGGGGGGACGGAGAAGGCUAUGUUGGCCGGGCGACGGUUGUCCCGGUUUAAGUGUGUAGGUGUGUGUUCCAGGUAAAUCCGGUUCACUUUAACACUGAGGCGUGACGACGAGGCACUACGGUGCUGAAGCAACAAAUGCCCUGCUUCCAGGAAAAGCCUCUAAGCAUCAGGUAACAUCAAAUCGUACCCCAAACCGACACAGGUGGUCAGGUAGAGAAUACCAAGGCGCUUGAGAGAACUCGGGUGAAGGAACUAGGCAAAAUGGUGCCGUAACUUCGGGAGAAGGCACGCUGACACGUAGGUGAAGUGAUUUACUCAUGGAGCUGAAGUCAGUCGAAGAUACCAGCUGGCUGCAACUGUUUAUUAAAAACACAGCACUGUGCAAACACGAAAGUGGACGUAUACGGUGUGACGCCUGCCCGGUGCCGGAAGGUUAAUUGAUGGGGUCAGCGCAAGCGAAGCUCCUGAUCGAAGCCCCGGUAAACGGCGGCCGUAACUAUAACGGUCCUAAGGUAGCGAAAUUCCUUGUCGGGUAAGUUCCGACCUGCACGAAUGGCGUAAUGAUGGCCAGGCUGUCUCCACCCGAGACUCAGUGAAAUUGAACUCGCUGUGAAGAUGCAGUGUACCCGCGGCAAGACGGAAAGACCCCGUGAACCUUUACUAUAGCUUGACACUGAACAUUGAGCCUUGAUGUGUAGGAUAGGUGGGAGGCUUUGAAGUGUGGACGCCAGUCUGCAUGGAGCCGACCUUGAAAUACCACCCUUUAAUGUUUGAUGUUCUAACGUGGACCCGUUACCCGGGUUGCGGACAGUGUCUGGUGGGUAGUUUGACUGGGGCGGUCUCCUCCUAAAGAGUAACGGAGGAGCACGAAGGUUGGCUAAUCCUGGUCGGACAUCAGGAGGUUAGUGCAAUGGCAUAAGCCAGCUUGACUGCGAGCGUGACGGCGCGAGCAGGUGCGAAAGCAGGUCAUAGUGAUCCGGUGGUUCUGAAUGGAAGGGCCAUCGCUCAACGGAUAAAAGGUACUCCGGGGAUAACAGGCUGAUACCGCCCAAGAGUUCAUAUCGACGGCGGUGUUUGGCACCUCGAUGUCGGCUCAUCACAUCCUGGGGCUGAAGUAGGUCCCAAGGGUAUGGCUGUUCGCCAUUUAAAGUGGUACGCGAGCUGGGUUUAGAACGUCGUGAGACAGUUCGGUCCCUAUCUGCCGUGGGCGCUGGAGAACUGAGGGGGGCUGCUCCUAGUACGAGAGGACCGGAGUGGACGCAUCACUGGUGUUCGGGUUGUCAUGCCAAUGGCACUGCCCGGUAGCUAAAUGCGGAAGAGAUAAGUGCUGAAAGCAUCUAAGCACGAAACUUGCCCCGAGAUGAGUUCUCCCUGAGACUUAAAGUCUCCUGAAGGAACGUUGAAGACGACGACGUUGAUAGGCCGGGUGUGUAAGCGCAGCGAUGCGUUGAGCUAACCGGUACUAAUGAACCGUGAGGCUUAACCUU